UAAAGAUUAUUGGGGACUACUAAUCCCCUGCUCUGGGUUAAUACAGGAAUCUUUGG
rnacentral:tRNA from 1 species